rnacentral:rRNA from 1 species
AUCUCUAGUCAUAAUUAUUUUCCUUACCAAAGUAUUAAAAGCUAUGAUCUCUAAAUUUCAAGGAUUUGGCGGUGAUCUAGUCCAGUUAGAGGAACCUGAUUAUUAAACGAUAAACCACRAAAAAUUUUACCUGUUUUCAGAAUUUGUAUACCGUCAUUAUUAGAUGAUUCUGAGAAGAAAAAUUAUCUCAAUAAAAGAACCGAUUAAUAUAUUAGAUCAAGGUGCAGUCUAUAAACAGGCUUAAGUGGGUUACAAUAAGACACACUUAUUAUGAAUCAAAGGUUUAAACACCUCCUUGAAGGAGGAUUUAAUAGUAAUGUAAGUUUAAUAAGCUUGCAUGAUAAAGGAUCUAGAUUGAGUACAUAUCACCCGUCGCUUUCAUCCAAAAAUGAAAUUGUAACAUAG